AACGAACGCUGGCGGCAGGCCUAAAACAUGCAAGUCGAGCGGGCAUAGCAAUAUGUCAGCGGCGGACGGGUGAAUAACACGUGGGAACAUGCCCUUUGGUACGGAACAACUCAGGGAAACUUGAGCUAAUACCGUAUGUGCCGGUAACGGGAAAGAUUUAUCGCCAAAGGAUUGGCCCGCGUCCGAUUAGCUAGUUGGUGAGGUAACGGCUCACCAAGGCGACGAUCGGUAGCUGGUUUGAGAGAACGAUCAGCCACACUGGGACUGAGACACGGCCCAGACUCCUACGGGAGGCAGCAGUUGGGAAUCUUGGACAAUGGGGGAAACCCUGAUCCAGCCAUGCCGCGUGAGCGAUGAAGGCCUUCGGUUG
rnacentral:rRNA from 1 species